rnacentral:rRNA from 1 species
GUCGACGGAACCCUUCGGGGGGAAGUCGAUGGAAUGAGCGGCGGACGGGUGAGUAACACGUAAAGAACCUGCCCUCAGGUCUGGGAUAACCACGAGAAAUCGGGGCUAAUACCGGAUGGGUCAUCGGACCGCAUGGUCCGAGGAUGAAAGGCGCUCCGGCGUCGCCUGGGGAUGGCUUUGCGGUGCAUUAGCUAGUUGGUGGGGUAAUGGCCCACCAAGGCGACGAUGCAUAGCCGACCUGAGAGGGUGAUCGGCCACACUGGGACUGAGACACGGCCCAGACUCCUACGGGAGGCAGCAGUAGGGAAUCUUCCACAAUGGACGAAAGUCUGAUGGAGCAACGCCGCGUGAACGAUGAAGGCCCUCGGGUCGUAAAGUUCUGUUGUAAGGGAAGAACAAGUGCCGCAGGCAAUGGCGGCACCUUGACGGUACCUUGCGAGAAAGCCACGGCUAACUACGUGCCAGCAGCCGCGGUAAUACGUAGGUGGCAAGCGUUGUCCGGAAUUAUUGGGCGUAAAGCGCGCGCAGGCGGCCUCUUAAGUCUGAUGUGAAAGCCCCCGGCUCAACCGGGGAGGGCCAUUGGAAACUGGGAGGCUUGAGUAUAGGAGAGAAGAGUGGAAUUCCACGUGUAGCGGUGAAAUGCGUAGAGAUGUGGAGGAACACCAGUGGCGAAGGCGACUCUUUGGCCUAUAACUGACGCUGAGGCGCGAAAGCGUGGGGAGCAAACAGGAUUAGAUAC